UAAGACGCCCAAGAGCAUCCUGGGAACAGGCACGGUGGUCGUGAAUAAAAGAGAAACAUUCAUUUAUGGUAAUUGGUUUCAGCUCCUCACUUGGCUGCUCGUCCUGACCUAAAUGUAUCCAGUUGUUCCCUCUGCCUGGCUCUGGUUUGGGGGUCACUCCUAAUGGUUUAAUUCAGCAAAAAAUGUCUGCCAUUUCCUGUAACCUCUGUCUUGUUUCGCCCUCCUCUCUGAACCAUUUUCUCCCGGGCAGCAUCUCUCCAGUCCCUCCCGGAGCCGUUUCCUUCUCAGGGAACAAAGUCAAGAUUGUUGACAGAGAAAAAGGGUCUUAACUCCAGGCCAAGAAAAGGAGGUGGGGGGAGGGGAUAGGAGAAGGUAAUAAUCAUUUGUUUGUCUUCCACCCGGACUUCACAAAGCGGGGCUUGUCCGAGGCUGGUGGUCAGGGACUCUGACACAGAACAUGGCCCUGGUGACCAAGGGCAAUUUAUGGGGAGGGAACGAACACAAAUCCUCAUUCAUGGAGCUGCCAUAGAGGAAGUGACUGGGAGGAACGUUUGUGCCCGGCCAGCAAGGUGGGAAAUAGAGUCCUUGGAGAGGAUGCUUAGGCCUCAGCAGCACAGAGAUCUGCUUCACCUCUCCAGGAAGAGCAGGUAGGCUGUCACCGCAGUGGACACAAGGCCAGAUGCAGGGUCAGAUGAAGUCCCCCAGCAAGUCUCAGCCAUAGAUGAUUUCCCUACCAGGUAUGGUUCAGCUUUGUCUUGAAUACCUCCAGUUACAAAAAGCUCACUACCUUCCAGUACAACCAUGGUUGGACUAU
rnacentral:lncRNA from 1 species